rfam:Gossypium raimondii Chr09_contig_1549, whole genome shotgun sequence.
AAUCCAUGCAUUGGGCACUUUCGAAUUAAAUCUUUGAAUCUUUACCAAGCUUCAUAUAAUAUUUCAUCUUCUAAUUUUUGAAAAGAUGUAAUAUCAUUUCUCAACUU